UACCUAUAAGACUGGAAUAACUCCGGGAAACCGGGGCUAAUGCCGGAUAACAUAUAGAACCGCAUGGUUCUAUAGUGAAAGAUGGUUUUGCUAUCACUUAUAGAUGGACCCGCGCCGUAUUAGCUAGUUGGUAAGGUAAUGGCUUACCAAGGCGACGAUACGUAGCCGACCUGAGAGGGUGAUCGGCCACACUGGAACUGAGACACGGUCCAGACUCCUACGGGAGGCAGCAGUAGGGAAUCUUCCGCAAUGGGCGAAAGCCUGACGGAGCAACGCCGCGUGAGUGAUGAAGGGUUUCGGCUCGUAAAACUCUGUUAUUAGGGAAGAACAUAUGUGUAAGUAACUGUGCACAUCUUGACGGUACCUAAUCA
rnacentral:rRNA from 1 species